UGGGCUUCGGGCACACAUCGUCGGCUGCACUGCCGGCUUCGGGCACACAUCGUCGGCCUGCACUGCCACCUUCGUAGACCCAAGUUUCUCUCCCCGCUUUGUCUGGUUUCCUCUAGAAAAAAGAAACAAUUCGUUUGGGAGCCGGAGAUUUGCAACAAAAAAAGGAGCCGGAGAGGAUAAGGUGAAAUCGGCGGCACCGCCGCCGCCGCUACGGGGCACGAGCAUGGAGGCGGCUGGGAUAGUGUGGUGCCACCGCCGCUACAGGGCACGAGCACGGAGGCGGCUGGGAACAGGGGGAGACGAUGGCGGCCUGAGCGGGCGGCGCUGGGCGCCAUGGGGUUCAACAUCUCGCUGGCCUUGACUCGCGCACGUCCCGUUCUGCUCAGGGCACAUCCUGCCUCAGCAGCCACACCUCUCCCUCCAAGCACAGAGCUUGCUGCCCCCACCCCCGUACAAUGAACGAGCAUGCCAAGGAGAGGAGCUCCAUGCGUAUGGGACGCCAGCCGCUCCCCAAUCUUCAGAUCUGACCAACAUGGGAGGAAUUGUUGGAGCACAACCAAAUCCAAACGCCUCACCGAGUAUAAUGUUUGUGACUAACACCUAUUUAUCAACACAUGGGAUGACCAUGUCGUGGGUGAAGAAGUUUGCAAUGGAUCAACCUUGAAGACACUCGGAACAUUUACUUCGAGUGAAGACUCUCGCGGUGCUAUUGCCACUACCCUGACCUCGCCGAUUGUUGACCUCGCUGGCUUGACAGCGUCCUUUGUGAUUCUGAACAUAGGUGCUACUCUCCUGGACACCGCCGACUCAGGUCCUACUCUCCUCGACGCCGCCGACUCAGGUUAUAUCUACAUGUAGCGUUGGAGAAUACUACGUGGAUAACGGUGGCACUAAGGCCUGCAGUAGCGAGUGGAGAGCGCCCAGGCCGAGCUCCCCAAUGUUCAUGUCGUACAGGAGCUAAUCCAUGCUGAGUGGGCCAUAUCGGUCUUUGUCUGCACGCAUUAUUAUAUCCUCUUCUUAUCUCCCCCGCUUGUGCCACCGGAGAAUAUCAAGGAUGUGGCGUCGGCACUGAGCCGCCACUGGUAGGCAAGGGCAUGUGGCCUGGUCAUGAAUGAUGAGAUUGGGGUCGGCACACACCAAAGUGACACACAGAGGCAGAGUUCUAUAAAAAAAAUAAGGAAUCCAUCUAAUUCUACUUGACAACCUUCCAACACGAGACCAGGACCAGUAUUCUGAACCUCAUACCAUUAAGGGCAUAUCUGUAUUCUAAGGAAAAUUAGUACACCUGGUAAUUGUUUCUUGACAUGGCUAUUCCAUCGAGGUUUAAUUCUAUGAUACACAACUAAUAGUUUGUUGGUAUGCAUAACUAUCUUGCCAAAGGUUUUCCUGUGUAUAUCAUUUCGUAGUCGAAAGUGUUUGCUGCAAUCAUUAUGAGCAUCAUGUUUGCCUUUUUGUGGAAAAAUAGUGUAGAAUUCUUCUUGCUACUAUCAUCUACUCUCAACGAGUCAGUGAUGGACAGGAUUAUCAUUCAUGUAUUUGAACAAUUGAUUCAGGGUCUAUUCAUAGAUGCGUUAAUUUGUUUUUGUAUGACUCCUUUCUUCCAUCAAUGUUUUUACAUCCAAAUGAACUACACUAUUCUUAUACAGUCAAAUUAGAAUAUUUUGAUGAUCACUUAAAUAAAUGAAUAUCCACGGUUAUCCGGGAGGGAGGGAGAUGGAGAGAUAGAGAGAGAGCACAUUUAAUAUUUGAUAGCUUCCUUUACUAAAUCACCUCUCUGAUGGAGCUGCAGUUUUGCAUGUUUAAAAUGAAUGAGUAUGUAAAGAUUAGCGACAUUUUCUUACAAUCACCUGCAAUAUUUGCAUAAAAUGCUUUCCUAGGGCUGGUCAACUCUUUUUAUUUCUGUCAUAGUACACAUGUCUAUCACCACAAAUUGCCAUAUGUUUUUCAACGGUGUAUGAGCUGUGAGUUGCCCUAUUAUUUUAAGAGUUCAUAAGUUGGGUUGACUGUGAGACUCUAAAUACUCAUUAUUAUCUUAACAUAAAUAUUUUUGUGAUUAAAGUUGUAGGUUAUUCCUUUGAAUGAUCUAAGAAAUAUAUUUGGAUUAGGGAAGCAUGAAGCACAAGCAAUCACCUCAGAUAUCGAAUCUCGAGCAUACAGAAAUAAGCUUAUAAAAUCCUUUAGUACUGAUUUGGUUGUUGCUCCUAACAAAGCAUCAUUCCUCCAAAAUCUCUGUCAAGAGUUACAACUUGAUCCUGAACUUGCUAGCAAGAUGCAUAAAGAUACCAAGCUGACACUUGUUUUUUGUAUUGCAUCAUUAAUUUUACAGCAUAGUUCUAUGUUAGCUCAAAAUUUGAUCUUGCUCCUGCUAGCAAGAUGUGUACCAUAUUAGCUACAGUUUGAAGGAUAUAAUCCUUUUGUUUCAAGACUGAUGGUUAAACAUUCCUCCAGUGUGAAAGUUAUUAUUUUCUGUUCAAAUUUCUUCGUUACAUUCCUUCGGUGUGAAAGUUAUUAGUUUCAGUUUGAAGGAUAUAAUUUUAACUAUAUGCAUUUGGCUAUCAAACAGCUUUUCUGCUAUCCGAUUUUGAAUUUGCAAAAGUUGCUUCUGUUCUAUAUAGGUGUACAGUUUUCAUGCUAACUGGAAAGUACCAAAGUACCAAAGUUGUCUAUCCUAGCUGCACCAAACUACAUUUUUCUUGUUUUAUUAAUAUGAGAUAUAUAAGAAAGUGCAGCGGGAAUGGCUUGUACUCAUGCUUGAGGAUAUUUGGCUUAGGCUCCUGGACUGCCUCAUGGCCACAGUGCAGAUAGGACACUUGUGGUUAUCUUCAUGUCUCAUUGGUGGUCAGAGAAACAAAACAAAGCUGGAGUGGAAGGUUGAAACAAAACAAAGGAUCUAGGACUAGGAGUUUCAAUACGUUGUUAAAAAUUGUGCCAAACAUUAAGGUUGAUUUCAGUUCAUUUGCAUAUGUGUUCAUCCUUCUAGCAUAAGAAAAAUAUGGUGCUUUUCUUGAAAAUUUUGUGGCUUAGUUCUGGAAAGCAUUAAGUUUCCAUACAUACUGGUACUGAUCAAUCCAUCCCUCUGAAAACAUGACACCCUAUUUCAUAUGCUUCCUAUAAGCUAUGCACACGCCAUCUCGCCAAGCACUGAUAACAUGUUUCAUUUAAGAGAUCAUUUGAGAUUUGCAUAAUUGUUUUGAGAAUGGGCAGGGUAGCAUCAACACCGGCCUCGAUCAGUGUCGGGGCAAUGGUGAACCGACAAAGAAGGCAGCUCGGGUAGGGUGGCGCAGGACAUCGACACCGGCCACGACCAACGUCAGAGGAUGGGUCAUUGGGACGGAAGGAGGAAGACAAAGAGGAUGAAGAAGACGGCGAUCACAAAUUUUUUAUCAUCGAUAAAAACAGGCGACCGAUGCAUAGUUGCUCUCAUACUAUCCGCUAAAGAAAUUGAUAAGAGGCGAUAUAGAUUCUAAGGACUUCAGACAUGUCACUUGGUCAUCAGUUUGAUUUAUUCAUGUAUUUUGCCCAUAGCAACGCACGGGCAUUGUACUAGUAUAUCUCAUAUAAGUUCAACACUGGCGUGAAAAGGACAA